UAAAGCAGCUAAUAAAGUCCCCCUCCCGUCAAAAAUAAAAAAGAAGAAAAAAAGUCCCUCAAACUCUCCAAAACCUAAUUGAAAACUCUCCAUAGUUUUGCUUCUGCAGUUCUUUAUUCCUUAAAUUUCAUGGCGGCGAGGGUUCUCAUUGCCCUGAUUUCCACCUUUCUUUGGGGCUUGAGGAAUUGUCAACGGAAGAUAUCUAGCUGGCGGUGAGCGUUUUGGGUCAGGGUUGCACCGGAAAAGAUGGUGGCGUCGGUAGUGUUCUAUGGUGGGAGAGUAGUAAAGCGACGUUAAACAAUAGCUUCCACCUUCUUUAUCCUCCCUAUCAACCAGAUCUUAACUUGAAUUUGAGCUCUUAAUCGUAGGCUGAGAAUACUGGCAGAAUCGAAAGGGUAUCGACUUGAUGAAAUAGGGUUAUUUUUGCAACUCCAAGUUCAGGCAGCCAUCGAUCGAGGAUCUUGCUCCUAUGUCUACGAGCAGGGUAUUCUCUUAGAUGAUGAGGUCAACGAGUCAAUGGACAUUGAACAGGACAAGGCAUCAUUUCUAUUGGCUAAUAGUUGGGAUAAGACUGGAGUCGCAGCAGGGAAGACAUAUACAAUGUGAAAUUGUCAAUUCGGUUGGACAGCUAGAUGUCAGAAAUAUCUUGUAGUAGAGGCAAAACUGAUGCCACCUGCUUCUUAACAUAAUAUUUGAGAGAGCAGGGAUUAGAGAGCAGAUGAACAUUAGCAGCUGCAGCAGUAAGCAAGCAGCAUGCAACAAGAUGAUCAAACAGUGCUACAUCUAUACCGCCUUUCGUUGUUAGACAUGGUUGCCUGACUGGUAGUAUUCGAUCUCAUAUAUCAUUAUUUGUCCUGUUUUGUAUUUUUUUAUUGUAGAACUCACACCUUCAGGUUAAAACCCGACUUGUCUAUUUCCUUCAGUUUUCAAGUACUAGCAUUACUUUUAAUUGACGCUGAUACAUCUGUUUUCUCAUGCAUUGUUUUCCAUUGUUUGCUUGUUUUGUUUUUCAAUUAAGGUUUUUAAUAAUCACUUCCCUUAUUUCACUGGUUAGUUGUGGGUGAUAUUGUCUUAUGAUCGGGUUUUGGAGGAGGAAUAACACUUGAAGAAAUAUAAGGACCACAACCACAACACAGUAGGGAGGAACUUCUAUCUAAGUAGAAUGAGGCAAACAAACAAAAUCAUGUAUUGCCAAACGCGUGGAUACGUACGGUACAAGCGGAAAACAAUGCAUUAAGAGUCACAUGAGUUCAGUUGAAGAUGAGCUUAAAGCAUUAAAGAAUUGUUCUUACAACGCUUUUUCAGGAGAUGACACUCAAAGAGAGAACACUUCAACUAGUUAGAUUUUUAUUUUGUUCUUUUAUAGUGAACAAGAAUUAUUUAUCUUUUAACUUUUUUAGAAUUUAAAGACUAUGGGAUGUGAUUUUGAUUUCACAUAACUUGAAAUUCUAUUGUCAAAAAUCUUUUGAGUAAUGAAAUUUUUAUUUGUUUUAAUUGAU